CAAAACCUGUUGGAUAUGCAAUUAUUACAGGACGAAAAGUGGGAUUUUCGACAGCUAUUGACACCUAGUUCUGCCGUGCGCAUGGAGAUUGAGGGCCAUCGGCAAGAGGUUUUUGUCAGAGUGGAAAAUUGUAGGGCACUGCCAAGAAUGGUCAAAAACGCUGUGUGUCCGUGUUCCCCUAUCAUCCCCCUCCCCUUGUGCCUAGCAGAGGUUUUCGUAUUUAAAUGAAGUUGCUGAGAGCCAUGCAAAUGCAAAUCAACUGUUGGGCACC